UGAUGUCAGGGCCAUCUGGCUGCGACACUUAUCACCCCAUUGAUCACCAGGGUUGAUCUGGCUGAUCAUGCUGGUUAUGCUGGUGUCCCCUUCCUCCCUUACUGCUCCAUGUGUGUCUCUUCCCGAAGCUGCGCGCUUGGUGGAAGAGGACGACCUUCCUUGAAUAGAGGAGGACUGGUCUUUGGUCAAGGGUAUAUGAGUAGCUGCGCUCCCCUGCUAGAACCUCCAAACAAGCUUAUUUUAAAGUAUGGAACACAUCCUGGUUUAUCUGAAUACAUGUAACUUAGCUAUGUGAUUUC
rnacentral:snRNA from 1 species